GCUGUUGUUGCUGGCGGCAUUGUCAGGCUUUGUCUGAUUUCAGGUAAGGCUGGUUUCUAGCUAGUGCUGCGUGGGCUGGAUCUAAUGCCGCCGCCGCCGGCUCCUCUCACUGCCACUGGGUGAGUGGAUUUAUUUAUUUAUUUAUUCCCCAUGACGUGUCCCCAGCAGCAGCAGCAG